UACGAAGGGGGCUAGCGUUGCUCGGAAUCACUGGGCGUAAAGGGUGCGUAGGCGGGUCUUUAAGUCAGGGGUGAAAUCCUGGAGCUCAACUCCAGAACUGCCUUUGAUACUGAAGAUCUUGAGUUCGGGAGAGGUGAGUGGAACUGCGAGUGUAGAGGUGAAAUUCGUAGAUAUUCGGAAGAACACCAGUGGCGAAGGCGGCUCACUGGCCCGGUACUGACGCUGAGGUGCGGAAGCGUGGGGAGCAAACAGG
rnacentral:rRNA from 1 species